GAUGAACGCUGACAGAAUGCUUAACACAUGCAAGUCUACUUGAACUUCGGUUUGGGUGGCGGACGGGUGAGUAACGCGUAAAGAACUUGCCUCACAGAUAGGGACAACAUUUGGAAACGAAUGCUAAUACCUGAUAUUAUGAUUUUAGGGCAUCCUAGAAUUAUGAAAGCUAUAUGCACUGUGAGAGAGCUUUGCGUCCCAUUAGCUAGUUGAAGAGGUAACGGCUCACCAAGGCGAUGAUGGGUAGCCGGCCUGAGAGGGUGAUCGGCCACAAGGGGACUGAGACACGGCCCUUACUCCUACGGGAGGCAGCAGUGGGGAAUAUUGGACAAUGGACCAAGAGUCUGAUCCAGCAAUUCUGUGUGCACGAUGAAGUUUUUCGGAAUGUAAAGUGCUUUCAGUUGGGAAGAAAAAAAUGACGGUACCAACAGAAGAAGUGACGGCUAAAUACGUG
rnacentral:rRNA from 1 species